GGCGUGCGAUACAGGGUGACAGCCCCGUACACAAAAAUGCACAUAUUGUGAGCUUGAUGAGUAGGGCGGGACACGUGGUAUCCUGUCUGAAUAUGGGGGGACCAUCCUCCAAGGCUAAAUACUCCUGACUGACCGAUAGUGAACCAGUACCGUGAGGGAAAGGCGAAAAGAACCCCGGCGAGGGGAGUGAAAAAGAACCUGAAACCGUGUACGUACAAGCAGUGGGAGCACGCUUAGGCGUGUGACUGCGUACCUUUUGUAUAAUGGGUCAGCGACUUAUAUUCUGUAGCAAGGUUAACCGAAUAGGGGAGCCGAAGGGAAACCGAGUCUUAACUGGGCGUUAAGUUGCAGGGUAUAGACCCGAAACCCGGUGAUCUAGCCAUGGGCAGGUUGAAGGUUGGGUAACACUAACUGGAGGACCGAACCGACUAAUGUUGAAAAAUUAGCGGAUGACUUGUGGCUGGGGGUGAAAGGCCAAUCAAACCGGGAGAUAGCUGGUUCUCCCCGAAAGCUAUUUAGGUAGCGCCUCGUGAAUUCAUCUCCGGGGGUAGAGCACUGUUUCGGCA
rnacentral:rRNA from 1 species